CAAAUUAUAGCUUAAUUAAGUAUUUUAUUUACAUUAAAAAGAUAGUUUUAGAUAACUUAUUUUGA
rnacentral:tRNA from 1 species